UACGUAGGGUGCAAGCGUUUGUCCGGAAUUAUUGGGCGUAAAGAGCUCGUAGGCGGUUUGUCGCGUCUGCUGUGAAAACUGGAGGCUCAACCUCCAGCCUGCAGUGGGUACGGGCAAACUAGAGUGCGGUAGGGGAGAUUGGAAUUCCCGGAGUAGUGGUGAAAUGCGUAGAGAUCGGGAGGAACACCGGUGGCGAAGGCGGCCAGCUGGCGCUGACCUGACGCUGAGGCGCGAAAGCGUGGGGAGCAAACAGG
rnacentral:rRNA from 1 species